AUUCAAGCCGCUUUCUGAAAGCAAACAGAGAUGCUCUUGGGAGCUGAAGGGGCGCGAGCGCUGGAGUUCAGCAUCUGGGAGCAGAGAUCUUCAGCACGGCUUAUGCUGCUGCCUUCUCUACACAGCCAGCCUCAUCAAAACCUGAGUUUUCAAAGCACUUGUCAGAGACUGAAUUGCAGGUUCCAGUCCUGCUGACCACUGUCUGUGAUGAGGAGACCCCAAGACUCCAGCAAACUCUCAGCCAGUGCUCUGAUGGCAGGAGUUCUCCAGGACCCUGGCAAAGGUGACCAGGAUCUGGCAGACAGGACAGAGUGAAAGACCAGCUGGGCUCUAAGCUCUGAUGUUUCUAAUUGAUGUCCAAGGAGAAAGCUUGAUGAUUUAGAGAUGAAGAAGAAAGGAAUCGCACCUUGCUUAAACUCAGCAGAAGCACGAGAGUGGAAAAUAACCCUUCUGACAGCUAGAGGCAAUGGCACUGAACCAGUUCAGGAGAAGUGGAAGGUGGUCACAGCUCUCCGCAGGCAUCACUGCAGGCAGGCAGCCCUGGCAGAAGCUUACCUUCAUCCGAAGAGACCUUUGGGAUGGAUCCGCUGGCCAGGAGAAGGAACGAGAAACCUCCUGCAGGAAAAGGGAGACCGUCUAGCUCAGGAGAAGCUCUUGGGAGAGGGGCAGGCGUGGAUAGAGGCAGGAAGGCCUCCCACUCCAAUGGCUCACCCUUCCCGUGCCAGCCCUGCUCCAUCUGCUGGCAAGGACAAUGCGGAGCCGCUGCCGUUUGCCCGCCGGGAUCCGGGCCCUCCUGCCCUCCUCCCCAGCCCAGAUUCCCUUCCCGUCCUCAUUUCAUCUGCCACAAGUGCCACAAGAGAAGAGCAGAGCCUCCCCCCAGACACAGGAGGGAGAACAACCCUUAUUUUUGGAUCCCUGCUUUCCCACGAGUUUUCCUCUAUUUUAGCCUCUAAUAUGUCAUCGAAGUUACAAGUAAAGUACUGUGCAUGCCGUGUGUUUACUCUCUGAUCUGCUGGCUGGGAAGUUGAUUCCCCUGCUCACCUGUGGUCAGUCAAAUGCAAUGGCAAUACCCUGCAAGUCCCCUGAGGCUGCCCAUUGGGAUACCGAUGGGAAUGGGGUGAGGUGGCAGCGCCCGCUGUUGCCUCACCCAGGAAAACAGGGUGCAGCUGCGAAAGGUAUUCAGGGGAAGCAGGAGUCCUUUGACUCUUUGCUUUGCUGCUCAGCACUUCUCAAGGGUAUUAUUUUGGCUCUGCCUCCAUUUCCCCCUUGCCUACUAGGUGUUUAAGAGAACAGGCUGAGGAAAGCUCUGAUUUUUUCAAAAUGUGAAAGCAACAUGGAAAGCUUUUGCCAUGUAUUGAGUCUGCAUGGCAUUGUGAAUUUGACUCACUCUUCUCUGUACAUGGAGAUGCAGGGUGUUCACAGCUGCCCUAUGAAAGGGUUUUUCAGCUCUGGCAUCAUGGACAUUAAAUGCUUUUUUUCCUCUUGUCCUGCCUUCUGCUUUUUGGAAAUAAUCUGCACCUGGUAUUUGUGUCUCUUUUCCAUAUGGAAAAGGAAGCAUGUUCACCCUGCUGUGGCAAGUCUUUCAGCUCUGAGUUCCAAGCAGUCAGGUGAAUGGGGUGGGCUGAGCUUCCCCACAUCAGUCAGCUCCUCAGGGAGGGAAGAAGGGCAGCCAGUGUCAGACCAGUGUUUACAGAAAGUUUAGUCUCCAGUGGAUUUCCCUAUUCCAAUGAAACAAUAGGAGGGUCUUGUGCUGUAUUAUCCAUGCUUCCUCUUUAUUCUGAUAUUAUCUGUGAAUUCUUGCAAAUAAUAGAUGACUGAGACCAGUCAUUGUUUCGGGAAAUAGGAAGAUGAAAACAUUAGAUGGACCUUAGCAGUUUCAAUGGAUUUAUUAAUGGUGUUUGUAGUUGUGCAAGUCAGAAACUAGCAAAAUACCUGUUGGACUAAGUAAUAACCUUGUGCAUUCAUGAAAGCAGUUCUCUUACGUCCCAUUUUUAAUAAGAGAGACUGCCUCAGUCAAACAAGUGCUAGAGAGUUCAAAACAAAAAAGGAAAGCAAACAUAACUCCUGUUAAUGCCACAAGAUUUUGGGAAGCAAUCCAUCCCAGCUCUUCCAUGUAUCUGCUUUAAUACAGGCAUUCUGAUAAAAAUUGCACGAUGGUGAUUAAUAAAUUUUCUAUCAAUUGAACUUGAAGUCAA